GGUGCAGAAAAGGGUAACAAAAAAGAAUGUAGGGGUAUGGAAUUGCUGCCAUAAGAGGAGAGAUUAAUAAGAAUGGGACUUUUCAGCUUGGAAAAGAGACGACUAAGGGAGGAUAUGAUAGAGAUUCAUAAAAUCAUGACUGGUGUGGAGAAUGUAAAUAAGGAAGUGUUAUUU